rnacentral:rRNA from 1 species
GACGAACGCUGGCGGCGUGCCUAAUACAUGCAAGUCGAGCGGAACUGGGGGAGCUUGCUCCUUCCAGUUUAGUGGCGGACGGGUGAGUAACACGUGGGCAACCUGCCCUGCAGAUCGGGAUAACUCCGGGAAACCGGUGCUAAUACCGAAUAGUUUGGCGCCUCUCCUAAGGCGCCACGGAAAGACGGCUUCGGCUUUCACUGCAGGAUGGGCCCGCGGCGCAUUAGCUAGUUGGUGGGGUAACGGCCCACCAAGGCGACGAUGCGUAGCCGACCUGAGAGGGUGACCGGCCACACUGGGACUGAGACACGGCCCAGACUCCUACGGGAGGCAGCAGUAGGGAAUCUUCCGCAAUGGACGCAAGUCUGACGGAGCAACGCCGCGUGAGUGGCGAAGGUUUUCGGAUCGUAAAACUCUGUUGUGAGGGAAGAACACGUACCAACUAACUAUUGGUACCUUGACGGUACCUCACCAGGAAGCCACGGCUAACUACGUGCCAGCAGCCGCUGUAA